GGAACGAACGCUGGCGGCAUGCCUAAUACAUGCAAGUCGAACGAACACUUCGGUGUUAGUGGCGCACGGGUGCGUAACGCGUGGGAAUCUGCCCUUGGGUUCGGAAUAACAGUUGGAAACGACUGCUAAUACCGGAUGAUGACGAAAGUCCAAAGAUUUAUCGCCCAGGGAUGAGCCCGCGUAGGAUUAGCUAGUUGGUGAGGUAAAGGCUCACCAAGGCGACGAUCCUUAGCUGGUCUGAGAGGAUGAUCAGCCACACUGGGACUGAGACACGGCCCAGACUCCGUACGGGAGCAGCAGUAGGGAAUAUUGGACAAUGGGCGCAAGCCUGAUCCAGCAAUGCCGCGUGAGUGAUAGGAAGGUCCGUUAGGGUUAUAAAGCUUACCGUUUACCGAGUA
rnacentral:rRNA from 1 species